rnacentral:rRNA from 1 species
GGAAUUAACGCUGGCGGCGUGCCUAACACAUGCAAGUCGAACGCGAAAGUCCCGCAAGGGGCAAGUAGAGUGGCAAACGGGUGAGUAACACGUGGGUGACCUGCCUUCGAGUGGGGGAUAACGUCCCGAAAGGGACGCUAAUACCGCAUGACAUCCUGCCUUUGAAUAGGCGGAGAUCAAAGCUAGGGAUCGUAAGACCUGGCGCUUGAAGAGGGGCCCGCGCCUGAUUAGCUAGUUGGUGAGGUAACGGCUCACCAAGGCAACGAUCAGUA